ensembl:lncRNA
CUGGGAUGGAAAAUGGUGUUCAUGAAGGCAGUGUGAAUCACAAGUUAUGCUCGGGAGCAGUUUAUGUGGGUUCAAUGAGAGUGUGCGUCCAUAAGACUGUUUAGCCUGCUACUGUAGGUUCAGGGGGAUGAUGUGGGUCUCAGCUUUGACCCAGAGUCUCCACCUGGUUGGAUAUGCCCCUUUACCUAAGGAGACAUUCAAGAGCAUUGUUCAUGAGGGAUCGAAUGCAAGCAUGUGCCCAGAGUCCUCACCUUUCAGUAUCUCUAAUGGUGAAACAGGACAACCUAUGGAAGAAACUAAUUUCUGCUGCUUGUGGCCAUAGUUCAGGGGUUUGUGAUUCAGUAGAUGGAGCAGCUGUUUGUGCAUAAGAACAGACUUCUAGCCCUGAACAACAACCUAAAGGUAGUUUAACUUAUCCAUUUGCAGAAACACCCCAAUUUCCUACUCAUAAUGCAGCAUCCAACAUUUUUCAGGUAGGAAGCAAGGCUUCAGGCUUGGAGGGACUAACUCUACUCUAUGCUGCAGGAGUUCAUCACCCAAUUAGGCCAAGAGGAACACAUCAUUUACAAAAAGAAAAGAUGUGAUCCCGAGUCCACUAAUACCUGUACUUGUCAAUAUUAAGUGCUAAGAAGACAACACAUUGACACUACAGAGAUAUUUGAUUACAUGUUAAUGCCUAAACAUUGGUUAAACUUUUGCAAUGAAGUUGCAGUGAAGUUAAAAUUAAGAUUUUUGCAACUUCAUUUCAGUUUUUGGUUUUAAUAUCAGUCUUGUGUUUUUGUUUCCGUAUGGCACCAAAUAUCUGGAGGUUUGUUUAAUAAUGUGGAUGUCUUUAUGAUCUUUGUGACACAAAUUAAAUUUUACUUCUAUAUUUACUUCUAUUUUACUUCUAUAUAUUAAUUCACAACAACAGUUGCCUCAAAACCCAACCCAAACAUAAUCAUGAGUUUACUGUACUGAAAUGGCAUCCAUAAUCACCAGAACUUAAUCCAACAGUGAACCUUUGGGAUAUUCAAAUGACAAAUCUGCAGCAACUGUAUGAUGCUGUCGUGUCAAUAUGGACCAAAAUGUCUAAGGAAUGUUUCCAGCCCCUUGUUGAAUCUGUUGAAAACAAUUGAGGCAGUCCUGAAGGCAAAAGAUGUAUCUAAUAAAGUGUCUUGUGAGUGCACACAUUAGAGAAUAUGUUGUUGUAUAUUAGAGUAAUUUAUUGCAUGUGCUGCAUUUUGUCAUCUGCCUUCUCAGACUUUGGUUCAUCAAUGCUGUAACUCGCAGACAAUCCCUCCACAGUUAUCAAUGGCAGACUGAACUAUCAGUGUGUGUGUGUGUAUGUGUGUGUGUGGGUGUGUGUCUGUGUGUGCUUGGCCUGAGAUAACUGGGGUCAGGAAGGCACCAGUCAUAGGACAACCAAUGAAAUAUUUAUAGGAAUACAACACUAGAAGGUUUUACUGUACAGAGCAAAUUCACUGUAUAUAACUGUGACGGCAAGUCUGCACACACGAGUUCAAGACAUCACCAAGAAGAUAUAACAAUAAAGAAAGUGUCUACACAAGGACCAGUUCUUCUUUUAGUUUAUUCAUGUUUAUUUUUAACCAUGAGGUGAUUUUAACCACCCUCACUGACAAUCCUGUGUGGAGUAUUGUUCUCUUCCUGGGAUCUAGUCCUAAUUGUUUUUUUGUUUUUUUAAUACAGUUUGACAUUUAGGUUCUCUUAAUGUUCCACAC